CGGCGUGCCUAAUCAUGCAAGUCGAGCGAGUCUGCCUUGAAGAUCGGAGUGCUUGCACUCUGUGAGACAAGAUACAGGCUAGCGGCGGACGGGUGAGUAACACGUGGGUAACCUGCCCAAGAGAUCGGGAUAACACCUGGAAACAGAUGCUAAUACCGGAUAACAACAGAUGAUGCCUAUCAACUGUUUAAAAGAUGGUUCUGCUAUCACUCUUGGAUGGACCUGCGGUGCAUUAGCUAGUUGGUAGGGUAACGGCCUACCAAGGCGAUGAUGCAUAGCCGAGUUGAGAGACUGAUCGGCCACAUUGGGACUGAGACACGGCCCAAACUCCUACGGGAGGCAGCAGUAGGGAAUCUUCCACAAUGGACGCAAGUCUGAUGGAGCAACGCCGCGUGAGUGAAGAAGGGUUUCGGCUCGUAAAGCUCUGUUGUUGGUGAAGAAGGACAGGGGUAGUAACUGACCUUUGUUUGACGGUAAUCAAUUAGAACGUCACGGCUAACUACGUGCCAGCAGCCGCGGUAAU
rnacentral:rRNA from 1 species